ACAAAGACAAGACUGGUUAGUCUCAGCCCACGCAGCGCCAGCUGAGAACAGCACCAGGAGUAGUUUGAAAUCAAUGAAACAGAAACAAAUUGCUUUACAAAAGAAUCUCACUUGGACUUUUUCACAUUUUGUCACAUUAUAAUCUCAAACUUGAUAGUAUUUUACUGGAAUUUGCUCUGAAAAAUAAGUUGUAAAAAAUACACAAUUUUCCUUUGUGUUGGUCUGUCAUAUUAAAGUCUAAUAAAUUCAAUUCCAAUUUCCAUCAGUUUACAGAAAGUCCAACAAAAAUCUGUAUGGCAUUGCUUAAAACCUCCUUCUUGUUGAGUAAGUUGAAAUAAAAAUGCAAAAUUCAUAUUUGAUUGAAUGUCACUGCUGGGUCUCAUGAGUAUUUUCUCACAAAAUGUUGAUGAAACAGCUUUUUUAAUGGCCAGAAAACAGAUCCAUCAUGUUCUGUUCCUGUCAGUACAUCUCUAGUCAAGGUAACAGCGGACGUGUUUGUCAGAGAUUGCAAAUCUCUCUGAUCAUAAAAAUUUGAAAAAAAAAAAAAAAAAAAAGCUAGUGAAACUGCUGUCUUCUAAAAGCACUGCUGGGCCUAAUCUGAAACAGGAGAUUUUUGGUAACUGAAAUAUGCAGCACAACUCAUUCUGCAAGGGAUCAAAGGAGAUAUCACAUCCCCUCCAGCCAAUGUUUAUGCUUUGUCCUAAUAUUACGUGACAAGAGAUGUUCCUCUAAAA